GUACACUCCUGCGGGAGGCAGCAGUGGGGAAUAUUGCACAAUGGGCGCAAGCCUGAUGCAGCCAUGCCGCGUGUAUGAAGAAGGCCUUCGGGUUGUAAAGUACUUUCAGCGGGGAGGAAGGCAAUACGGUUAAUAACCGUGUUGAUUGACGUUACCCGCAGAAGAAGCACCGGCUAACUCCGUGCCAGCAGCCGCGGUAAUACGGAGGGUGCAAGCGUUAAUCGGAAUUACUGGGCGUAAAGCGCACGCAGGCGGUCUGUCAAGUCGGAUGUGAAAUCCCCGGGCUCAACCUGGGAACUGCAUUCGAAACUGGCAGGCUUGAGUCUUGUAGAGGGGGGUAGAAUUCCAGGUGUAGCGGUGAAAUGCGUAGAGAUCUGGAGGAAUACCGGUGGCGAAGGCGGCCCCCUGGACAAAGACUGACGCUCAGGUGCGAAAGCGUGGGGAGCAAACAGGAUUAGAAACCCUUGUAGUCCCAUGAU
rnacentral:rRNA from 1 species